CAUUUGUUUAUUUGAUAGUGGUUAAACUUAGCAAAUACAUUGUAUUUGUGCUAAUGGAGAGAAUCAAUGGCUCGUAUUGCCGGUGUAAACAUUCCGGAU
rfam:Moraxella cuniculi DSM 21768 genome assembly, contig: Ga0002152_112